UAAGUUGAUCAUCGAAAACUUGAAUUCCUUUCACACAUCAGAAUGUGAAUCUACUCUUCUGAAAGAAUAUCAAUAGCCAUCUUAGACUUACAAAUUUCUUGGUGAGAGCAGAUCUUGAAAGUCACAAUCUCUUUAAUCAGCUCCAGGCUCUAGAGGCAUGGUUCCCCAAGAUUAGAGACAAUGAACAUUGACAAGAAGUGUCAAUGGGGAAGGCAGUUGUGUCCUAUGUCAGAAAUAUUUGCAAGAAUUUGUGCAAGAAAACAAAACAAACCCCUUGUGUUUACACCCUAAUAACAAAGGAUCAUGGAAGUCAAGAAUAGAGGAGUGAAUUGGAAGGGGCAGUGGCACAUGUAUUUUGAUAAAGGAACUUUUCUGUGACCACAUCAUUCAAGAAAAUGACACUCUUUCUCAACACCACUAAAUGCCAGUAGUUUCUUUGUGAAUGGUGGAGCUUUCUGGGUCCCUCCUUGACCUAUGAUAAACUAUCACUGGGUCCAAUCUCAUGCAAGUCUUAUAGAGAUAACCAUGGAGGCAGUGAAUAAUUGACUUUCCCCCUUCUUAUCAUGUGGCACUGUGUAAGAGAACAGUCUCAGUUUUAGUCACCUAACUGAAUGAAAUUCAAAAACCAGUCUGAUUGUGUGUGUGUGUGUGUGUGUGUGUGUGUGUGUGUGUGUGUGUGUGCAUUUAGAGACAGGGUCUUACUGUGUAAUCCUUACCUGGGACUCAUUGUGCAGUCUGAGCUGACCUCUGAUUCACAGAGAUCUACCUGCUUCUGCCCAUGUGACACUCAAGAAUGCCAGAAGUCAGAUGAAAGUGUUCUCAAAUGUUCCAACCAUAUAUUCAACUGAUGCACUAAGUGUGACAAUUAUAAUGAAAGAAUAAUUAGGGAGAGGGUUGUUGACAAACAGAAUCCUUCACAUUUAUGAGGCUGGUAAAAUAAACCAUUGCAGGGAUGCCACACAGCUCUGUUUUCAUACAAACAAUGUUUUUGGUGGUAAAACAAAACAAACAAAAUAGGAACCAUCAGAGAGCUACAAACAACAAUAACAAUGCAAAGGAGCCAGAAUGCCAGAUGAGUCCCUCUCCAUCAAAUAGCUUUACAUCUAGAAAACCAAUAGCUUUAAAAGCAAUAACACAUCUAAAACCAUUUAAAGACUAUGGGCACUUGGCUUUGAUCUUUCCUCGGGACCUCUUUUCAUUCAACUUCACUGUGAGGGUCUCUCUAGGGUAAUCAGUAUUGGAUCAGCUUUCCCAACAUCUUCUUUGUUCUUGGAUCUCAGAGAUUUUUUUUUUUUUAAGGUUUCAUUCCCAAGGGACUAGCUUUUCAGUCCCUGAUUCUUCAUGCCAAUUUAUCACUGUUACAUGCUGUAAAGUCGCCGAGUACCUUCUUCAGGAAGCAGACAGUCCAUCAGCCUUCUGUCCUGUUCCUGAACUGAGGUCCCAGGUGCCCUUCACGGAUACGUUCUACAUCAACAAAAAUGACACAUGGAGGACUUUAUGUCUGUCAUACUGAAGACUCUCUUUUAUUCCUUUCAUUACCUUAAAAUUUUUCAAACCACAAAAAAAAAAUAUUUUAAAGGGGCCAGGAACUUGUUUUAUAUGAAGUAUUUAUUACAUGUUUUAGGGAGAGUGUUUCUCAGACAUCUGCCUGAAUUAGUUUGCAAAAUAAAGAGUAUAGUUUCUCUUGUAAACAGCUAAAAAUAUAUCUGUGUCAUCCCCAGAGGGCUGUUAUACAUGAAUACUCAAUAUAUAUAUAUACAUGUAUAUAUAUGAUAAUAUAUAAUAUAUUUAUUUUUCCUUUGAAAGUUUAUUCAAAAUCUGGAUUGAUCUAUUAGUUUGCUAAACUGUCUGCUUGAUUUUUUUUUAUCCUAGAUUUUUUUAUCCUAUAUUUUUAUCCUGAUUCUGACCUACAAAUUUUAUAGCUGUUAAUUAUAUUACAAUCUAAGCCAGAUAAAGAUAAGUAUUGUAAGAUGAGUGUUAGUCAUUGUUUUUAAGUCUGAGUACUGCCAGCGCUGCUGAGUUAGCGCACAUGGAAGUUUGACUAGUGUAUGUUACUUGAUUUACUUAUUGUUUUGUGGAAGAUGUAUAAGGUUUUCAAUACCCUUACCACAGUGUAUGUUUAUGUAGACAUCAAUGUCUAUAAUAAAUAUAUUUAAUCGAUUGUAGAAUUGAGAGAAUUGAAACAGAUGAGUUGAUAGUAAGACUCGAAUUCACUGGAAGGAAAGCCCAUGCCCACAUUACAUCAUCUUUGUCCUAGGCAUAUUUAUAUAAUUUAUAAAUAUUUUAUAGUGCUUUGUGUAAUAUCCAUAAGCUUAGAAAAACAUUAUUUGACACUUGAAUCUUAGUGUGCUUUGUUAGCUUUGCACAACAUCCUUUUUUUGUUGUGCAGACAGCAAUAAUUCUCAUGAGACCACAUCCACUUUGAAAUGUCCACAAAGUAUCAGGAGGUUAGAUGCUGUGAUUAAAGACUAUUCUCUUCCUACCAUUAUUCUCAGUCUGAUUCUACAGCUGUGGAACUAGAACAAAGAAUGUGGGGUGGGGGAGGGGAGGGGAGGAGGAGAGCAUUUUUUUGCUUGUUUCUUUUAUGGCGUUUUUUAGACCUAGAGAGAGGUAGAGGAGACCGAGUUCUGAGGGUACCUCUGGCUGUGUCAUCCCCAGAGGGCUGUUAUACAUGAAUACUCAGAGCCUUCAAAAGCCAACAAUGAUAUUCACAACCAAAUAAUAAUAACGUGCUAACCUCAAUCACAGUAAUCACAGAUAAUGCAGAAUUUGUGGCUGCCAUUUCAUUUUGAAGGUAAAAUACGAGACUUGUUUUGUAGAUUUCAUAUAACAUCCCGGAGCUGCAUCAAUAGACCUUGAAUAACCCGAAAUAAAGAGGUAAUGAGUGCACUUGACUCUGCAUCAUUCAGACCUUUGCUGGAGUAUCAGGCCCACUUCUGAGCUGCAGACAAAACCAAAGAGGACACGGAGAGUGGCAAAGAGAGGCAGCAAAACCAUGCCUUCUUCUCCUAUCAAGUGGUUGGAAGAAGGCAAUCAUUAGAAAGACAAAGCCAUGCAGUAAUCGAGGGCCUAGUUCUUGGAAGGGGCUGGUUCAUUGUGGCCACUAAUCUGAAGUCUGAGUAGUAGCAGCCUCUGCAGUAAGCAAGAUUAAGCCACAGAUGCAGCUUCAUGUCCUAGUGAUGAGGAAAACAUUUUCUGUGGGGAGACGUGUACAUGGCUCUUCUAGCCAAGUAAUGAUUACAUGCAAGGAUCAAAAACAUGCAUAUUUGGUGUCCUAGCAAUUUGCCAACAUCUACCUUUUUUUUUUCCUCCUGGUUUUAAAGCAUUCUUGUUAGAUUGCUCUUUCAUCUUUCCUAUAUUUAUAACUAAAUUCUGCCUGGUUGUUUUCUUGGAGUUCUUGAAGGACAGAUGUCCUUAGACAUCAUAUCUCAUAUAAAGUGUUUCCUGUCAUUUACUAAACUUCUCCUUAAGUGAAUCAUGUGUUGAAUGGUUCCUAAAAUUUCUAAUCAGGUAUUCACUGAUAAUUUAUGUUAUCCUCUAAUGUUUUUAAGGAAAUGCAAAACAUGUAAGCACUGAAGUUAAUCUGGAAGGAAUAUACCAGGUUUUUAAUUUUAGAAAAUUAAAUAUCAGUUUAUAUUGGUAUGCUUAGACUUUGCUGUUUAAUUGUGACAGUUUAAAAUACAGUUCAAGAUAUUUAGAGCUUUAAGAAAAAAACAUUAUGUUAGAUACUUUUUGAUUUACAG
rnacentral:lncRNA from 1 species